UGCGUUNUGAACUGGGUGACUAGAGUGUGUCAGAGGGAGGUAGAAUUCCACGUGUAGCAGUGAAAUGCGUAGAGAUGUGGAGGAAUACCGAUGGCGAAGGCAGCNUCCUGGGAUAACACUGACGUUCAUGCCCGAAAGCGUGGGUAGCAAACAGGAUUAGAUACCCUGGUAGUCCACGCCCUAAACGAUGUCGAUUAGCUGUUGGGCAGCAUGACUGCUUAGUAGCGAAGCUAACGCGUGAAAUCGACCGCCUGGGGAGUACGGUCGCAAGAUUAAAACUCAAAGGAAUUGACGGGGACCCGCACAAGCGGUGGAUGAAGUGGAUUAAUUCGAUGCAACGCGAAGAACCUUACCUGGUCUUGACAUGUACGGAACCCUCCAGAGACGGAGGAGUGCCUUCGGGAGCCGUAACACAGGUGCUGCAUGGCUGUCGUCAGCUCGUGUCGUGAGAUGUUGGGUUAAGUCCCGCAACGAGCGCAACCCUUGUCAUUAGUUGCCAUCAUUAAGUUGGGCACUCUAAUGAGACUGCCGGUGACAAGCCGGAGGAAGGUGGGGACGACGUCAAGUCCUCAUGGCCCUUAUGACCAGGGCUUCACACGUCAUACAAUGGUCGGUACAGAGGGUAGCCAAGCCGCGAGGCGGAGCCAAUCUCACAAAACUGAUCGUAGUCCGGAUUGCACUCUGCAACUCGAGUGCAUGAAGUCGGAAUCGCUAGUAAUCGCAGGUCAGCAUACUGCGGUGAAUACGUUCCCGGGUCUUGUACACACCGCCCGUCACACCAUGGGAGUGGGGGAUACCAGAAGUAGGUAGGGUAACCGCAAGG
rnacentral:rRNA from 1 species